rnacentral:rRNA from 1 species
CGCUAGCGACAGGCCUAACACAUGCAAGUCAGGGGCAGCACAAGGAGCAGUCUGAGUGGCGACCGGCGCACGGGUGAGUAACACGUAUGCAACCUGCCUGUAAGCGGGGAAUAACCCGUUGAAAGACGGACUAAUACCGCAUAAUACUAAAUUACUGCAUGGUAAUUUAUUUAAACAUUUAUGGCUUACAGAUGGGCAUGCGCAUGAUUAGCUAGUUGGAGAGGUAACGGCUCCCCAAGGCAACGAUCAUUAGGGGUUCUGAGAGGAAGGUCCCCCACACUGGUACUGAGACACGGACCAGACUCCUACGGGAGGCAGCAGUGAGGAAUAUUGGUCAAUGGACGAGAGUCUGAACCAGCCAAGUCGCGUGCAGGAAGAAUGUUCCCUAUGGAUUGUAAACUGCUUUUGCAGGGGAAUAAAGUGCAUCACGUGUGAUGUUUUGUAUGUACUCUGCGAAUAAGGAUCGGCUAACUCCGUGCCAGCCGCCGC